rnacentral:lncRNA from 1 species
UUCAAGUGUGGAGGAUACCAAUCAACUAAUAGCUGGUCCUAAGAGUGACACCCCCAGUUCUAUAUAUGAGAUAUAAAAGAACUAAAUCUCUUAAUCCAGUUAUAGCAUUUUGAAUAGUGGCUAGAUCCAAAAAGUUAAAAGGAUUAAGCGUAUUAGGAUUAAAAUAGUUAUAGAAUAGGUGAUCUCCUGAGCAGCAGGCAUCACACUAAAUCUCUAUGUGGACAAUGUUGGCAUUAAG